rnacentral:misc_RNA from 1 species
UCCGAGUUGACCCCGGCAGUCUCCUAUGAGUCCCCACCAUUACGUGCUGGCAACAUAGAACGAGGGUUGCGCUCGUUGCGGGACUUAACCCAACAUCUCACGACACGAGCUGACGACAACCAUGCACCACCUGUAUACCGACCACAAGGGGGGCCGUAUCUCUACGGCUUUCCGGUAUAUGUCAAGCCUAGGUAAGGUUCUUCGCGUUGCAUCGAAUUAAGCCACAUGCUCCGCCGCUUGUGCGGGCCCCCGUCAAUUCCUUUGAGUUUUAGCCUUGCGGCCGUACUCCCCAGGCGGGGUGCUUAAUGCGUUAGCUGCAGCACGGAGGUCGUUGAAAACCCCCACACCUAGUACCCAACGUUUACGGCAUGGACUAC